AUUGAACGCUGGCGGCAGGCCUAACACAUGCAAGUCGAGCGCGCGUCGGACGGGGGUGUAUUGUAUGGGGACUGCCCGAUAGAGGGGGAUAACUACUGGAAACGGUAGCUAAUACCGCAUACUAUCGGAUAACCCAUAUGGGAUUAGCUCGUAGGGGAGGUAAUGGCUCACCUCGGCGACGAUCCCUAGCUGGUCUGAGAGGAUGAUCAGCCACACUGGGACUGAGACACGGUCAAGAGUCCUACGGAGGCAGCAGUGGGGAAUAUUGCACAAUGGGCGCAAGCCUGAUGCAGCCAUGCCGCGUGUAUGAAGAAGGCCCUAGGGUUGUAAAGUACUUUCAGUCGGGAGGCGUUACCGACAGAAGAAGCACCGGCUAACUCCGUGCCAGCAGCCGCGGUAAUAC
rnacentral:rRNA from 1 species